CGAGUCUUCUCAGAGGUUGGAGAUUCCCUGUCUUCUCCAACCUCUGCCAAGUCUUCAGAGAGGUUGGAGUGCGCCUGUCGGAGGUCGGGGCCAGCCCACCUUGCUCUCUGGUACUAGACCCCAGAUGAGGAUCUCAGGAAGAUCCACAAAGCUGCGUCCAGGGGAACGAACGUGUGGAAGCUGCAGCGGAGCCUCCUGCUCAAGAGUAAAGGACCGGUCUGAAACCUACAAGAACAGAAGAGCCAUGUGACGGGAUCCGUGGUUUGGCAGAGGAGACAUGCGAGAAGACGGAACGUUUUGUCCGAAUAGACAUCUGGCAGGGUGGAACGGAGAGAACAGGUAUGGUGGAGAGAACGUCUGAGAAGGUCGCAGGAUUCGCAGGAGCAUCGGGAAAAGAUUGCCUGCUUGCCCGAAGGAAUGGCAAGUUCCAAAGCUGUGCUGUGGGCAGUGUUUAGUUCAUGUCUGCUUUGCUGGCGGGCCGAGUAGCAACAGCUGCAGUUGGUGUGUUCUCUGAAGGCAGUAUCCGAAGGCUGGAGGGGUUGCUUUUCUUCCCAGGUGUCUUUUGAAGAGGCAGUCAAGUCAGCAGCUCGCGGUGACCUUCUGGUAACAUCGUAUGGGCUGGGUUACAGCACAUGCCGACUGCUAAGCCGGUCACUGGGGAAAACCAUG
rnacentral:lncRNA from 1 species